UGCCUGCGUGCAGAGCUGUGGUCACGGCC
rnacentral:piRNA from 1 species